UACGUAGGGACCAAGCGUUGUUCGGAUUUACUGGGCGUAAAGGGCUCGUAGGCGGCCAACUAAGUCGGACGUGAAAUCCCCAGGCUCAACCUGGGAACUGCGUCUGAUACUGGAUGGCUUGAAUCCGGGAGAGGGAUGCAGAAUUCCAGGUGUAGCGGUGAAAUGCGUAGAUAUCUGGAGGAAUACCGGUGGCGAAGGCGGCAUCCUGGACCGGCAUUGACGCUGAGGAGCGAAAGCCAGGGGAGCAAACGGG
rnacentral:rRNA from 1 species